rnacentral:rRNA from 1 species
UGCCAGCCGCCGCGGUAAUACAGAGGGUGCAAGCGUUAAUCGGAAUUACUGGGCGUAAAGGGCGCGUAGGUGGUUAAUGAGGUUAGCUGUGAAAUACCCGGGCUUAACCUGGGGGUGUCAGCUAAAACGUAUUGACUAGAGCGAGUGAGAGGGUAGGAGAAUUUCCGGUGUAGCGGUGAAAUGCGUAGAUAUCGGAAGGAAUACCGGUGGCGAAGGCGCCUACCUGGCACUUGUCUGACACUGAGGCGCGAAAGCGUGGUUAGCGAACAGGAUUAGAUA